rnacentral:rRNA from 1 species
GAUGAACGCUGGCGGCGUGCCUAAUACAUGCAAGUCGAGCGAACAGAUGAGGAGCUUGCUCCUCUGACGUUAGCGGCGGACGGGUGAGUAACACGUGGAUAACCUACCUAUAAGACUGGGAUAACUUCGGGAAACCGGAGCUAAUACCGGAUAAUAUAUUGAACCGCAUGGUUCAAUAGUGAAAGACGGUUUUGCUGUCACUUAUAGAUGGAUCCGCGCCGCAUUAGCUAGUUGGUAAGGUAACGGCUUACCAAGGCAACGAUGCGUAGCCGACCUGAGAGGGUGAUCGGCCACACUGGAACUGAGACACGGUCCAGACUCCUACGGGAGGCAGCAGUAGGGAAUCUUCCGCAAAGGGCGAAAGCCUGACGGAGCAACGCCGCGUGAGUGAUGAAGGUCUUCGGAUCGUAAAACUCUGUUAUUAGGGAAGAACAAAUAUGUAAGUAACUAUGCACGUCUUGACGGUACCUAAUCAGAAAGCCACGGCUAACUACGUG